rnacentral:lncRNA from 1 species
AGCGGCGGGGAGGUGCGCCGCCCAGUCCGCUCGCGACACCCGCGCCGCACGCACGUCCAUGGCGCGCUAGAGCCUCCCAAUGAGUACUCCGCGAGACCCAACGCGAACCCCGUGCUCCCCGACUCGAGCCCACAGAUACUGUUGACCGUGUUCUCUAUAGUUACUGUUCGUUCGUCAGCUAGGAUAAGAGUGGUUCGGACUGUACCGGUUUGUGGCUAAUAUGUUCGCGUGUUGAUGCCUGUCUGAGCGUCUGAACUGAACUGAGAAAGUCUGACAACUCGCGGCUGACUUCACACGGAGCGUCUGACCGUCUUACUUCAGAAACCAAACUUUUGGAGACACCGGUAUUCUAAGGCCCGGCGAUGUC